ACAGGGCAUUGCCUAGUAACGGCGAGUGAAGCGGCAAAAGCUCAAAUUUUAAAGCUGGCACCUCCGGUGUCCGCGUUGUAAUUUUGUGAGGCAUCUCCGGGUAGGGCGCCGGCCUAAGUUCCUUGGAACAGGACGUCAUAGAGGGUGAGAAUCCCGUGCUUGGCUGGCUGUCCCCGUCCAUGUGAGGUGUCUUCGACGAGUCGAGUUGUUUGGGAAUGCAGCUCAAAAUGGGUGGUAAAUUUCAUCUAAAGCUAAAUAUUGGUGGGAGACCGAUAGCGCACAAGUAGAGUGAUCGAAAGAUGAAAAGCACUUUGAAAAUAGAGUUAAAAAGUACGUGAAAUUGUUGAAAGGGAAGCGCUUGAGACCAGAUUUCGGUGGGGAGUGAUCAGCUGUCCUUCUGGGCGGUGCACUUGCUCCCCUCCGGGCCAGCAUCGGUUGGGACGGCGGGAUAAAGGUCCCGGGAAUGUGGCUCCUUUCGGGGAGUGUUAUAGCCCGGGUGAAUGCCGUCAGCCCCGACCGAGGACCGCGCCUUCGGGCUAGGAUGCUUGGCAUAAUGGUCUUCAGCGACCCGUCUAAACCCCCGGAACAAAAAAACCCU
rnacentral:rRNA from 1 species